rnacentral:rRNA from 1 species
GUGAACGCUGGCGGUAGGCCUAACACAUGCAAGUCGAACGGCAGCACAGUAAGAGCUUGCUCUUACGGGUGGCGAGUGGCGGACGGGUGAGGAAUACAUCGGAAUCUACUUUUUCGUGGGGAUAACGUAGGGAAACUUACGCUAAUACCGCAUACGACCUACGGGUGAAAGCAGGGGAUCUUCGGACCUUGCGCGAUUGAAUGAGCCGAUGUCGGAUUAGCUAGUUGGCGGGGUAAAGGCCCACCAAGGCGACGAUCCGUAGCUGGUCUGAGAGGAUGAUCAGCCACACUGGAACUGAGACACGGUCCAGACUCCUACGGGAGGCAGCAGUGGGGAAUAUUGGACAAUGGGCGCAAGCCUGAUCCAGCCAUACCGCGUGGGUGAAGAAGGCCUUCGGGUUGUAAAGCCCUUUUGUUGGGAAAGAAAAGCAGCAGGUUAAUACCCCGCUGUUCUGACGGUACCCAAAGAAUAAGCACCGGCUAACUUCGUG